rnacentral:rRNA from 1 species
GACGAACUGUGCAAACGUUAUUCGGAAUCACUGGGCUUGAAGAGUGCGUAGGCGGUUUCGUAAGUCGGGUGUGAAAGCCCCCAGCUCAACUGGGGAACUGCGUCCUAAACUGCGAGGCUGGAGUGAGGUAGGGGUGUGUGGAACUUCCGGUGGAGCGGUGAAAUGUGUUGAUAUCGGAAGGAACGCCGGUGGCGAAAGCGACACACUGGGCCUUGUCUGACGCUGAGGCACGAAAGCCAGGGGAGCAAACGGG